AGGAGGCCUGCCCCGCGCCCGCCCACUCCUUCUUCCCUUCUUUCUCCUCUUUCUCUCCUUCUCUUCCGUUCUUCAUUUCUUCUCCUUUGUUGGCGAAAACUCUCUCAUUUCUACACCAAAAUACGGUUGCUAAUACCCCGUAGGCUGAGGAGCAAAAGGAGAAAUCCGCCUAAGGAGGGGCUCGCGUCUGAUUAACUAGUUGGUGAGGUAAUAGCUUACCAAGGCGAUGAUCAGUAGCUGGUCCGAGAGGAUGAUCAGCCACACUGGGACUGAGACACGGCCCAGACUCCUACGGGAGGCAACAGUGGGAAAUUUUCCGCAAUGGGCGAAAGCCUGACGGAGCAAUGCCGCGUGGAGGUGGAAGGCCUACGGGUCGUCAACUUUUUUUGUCGGAGAAGAAAUAAUGACGGUAUCUAAGGAAUAAGCAUCGACUAACUCUGUGCGUUUUUUUUGCCAAUUUUCCACCGUGGAUGCAU
rnacentral:ncRNA from 1 species